UCCGGUUGAUCCCGCCGGACCCCACUGCUAUCGGGAUAGGACUAAGACAUGCUAGUCGUGUGCCUCAGCCAAAACGAGGCACGGCGCACAGCUCAGUAACACGUGGCUAACCUGCCCUUAGGACGAGAAUGACCCCGGGAAACUGGGGCUAAUGCUCGAUAGGUGAAGAACUCUGGAAUGAGUCUUCACUUAAAAGAGUCAGCGUUAUGCUCGUAGAUUUCGCUUAAGGAUGGGGCCGCGACCGAUCAGGUUGUUGGUGAGGUAAUGGCUCACCAAGCCUUUUACCGGUGCGGGCCGUGAGAGCGGGAGCCCGGAGAUGGGCACUGAGACAAGGGCCCAGGCCCUACGGGGCGCAGCAGUCGCGAAAACUUUGCAAUACACGAAAGUGUGACAGGGCUAUCCCGAGUGCCAUCCGCUGAGGAAGGCUUUUACCCAGUCUAGAACGCUGGGGGAAUAAGGAGAGGGCGAGUCUGGUGUCAGCCGCCGCGGUAAUACCAGCUCUCCGAGUGGUGUGGAUGUUUAUUGGGCCUAAAGCAUCCGUAGCUGGCUAAGUUAGUCCCCUGUUAAAUCCAACGAAUUAAUCGUUGGAUCGCGGGGGAUACUGCUUGGCUAGGGGACGAGAGAGGCAGACGGUAUUUCCGGGGUAGGGGUGAAAUCCUAUAAUCCCGGGAAGACCACCAGUGGCGAAGGCUGUCUGCUAGAACGCGCCCGACGGUGAGGGAUGAAAGCUGGGGGAGCGAACCGGAUUAGAUACCCGGGUAGUCCCAGCUGUAAACGAUGCAGGCUAGGUGUUUGGACGGCCACGUGCCGUUCUAGUGCCGCAGGGAAGCUGUUAAGCCUGCCGCCUGGGGAGUACGAUCGCAAGAUUGAAACUUAAAGGAAUUGGCGGGGGAGCACCACAAGGGGUGAAGCUUGCGGUUUAAUUGGAUUCAACGCCGGG
rnacentral:rRNA from 1 species